AGUAGUUUCACAGCUACAUCCAGCCUCAUGGCAUAGCACAGUGGUGGAGGGUCUGACUGCUGCACCCUUGGACUCAUGGGGAAAGGAUUUCUGGGCAAAUCAUGCAACAGGCAUAAAUACACCUCUGCUGCAAUUACUGCUUCUGUGGAGCAUAUUGCAAAGCCUGCCUGGAGUCAUGUUCCUGGUGAGCAGAGCAGAUUUAUUCCACUGGAGGAGAAAGCCAAGGGGUGGGCCCAGUGCUAAUGCAAGAGAUUUCUGAAGAGUUGCACACAGCUCUUCCUCUGUAAGCUGCUCGCUCAACCUAUCCCACCUUUUCUGAAGGUUUACUUUGGAAAUAAUAUGCUUAAAAGCUGCCUCAAUCUCAAGAGCUUCAAAUGCAGAGGAUAUAAACAGUGUCCAGAAAUCUGAAAUGGAACAAGGCACUGUUCUGUCCAGUGGCCUGGAAUAAAAGCAAUGUGGCUCAGAAUAGCUUGCAGGGGUCAGGUAGUCCAUGCCCUGCCUUACGGCAAGCUCAGCCCUUCCUAGAGCUUUACUGACAAGUGUAAGUCUACCUUGUUCUUAAAAAAAUCUCCUGGAGGGGAGGUUCUGCUGCCUCCUGAAGAAAACUGCUCUGGUACUUACUCGUCUUCAGUUGCUGUUGAUAUGUAACAGCACUGAGAAGUUGGACAGGUCUGAACUUAGGUUUCCCUACUUGGUUUUUCUAUUGCGAUAAAGAGAGUUUUGGUCUGGAAUAUUCACUUUUGAAGGUGUAUGGGGUGGAGAAGACCAGAGCUAUUGCUUCACACUACAAGCAUAUUCUUUGACUUUCAAAGAAAAAUCAAGAGGGUUCCCCAGCUCAAAAUACUUAAAAGGCGGACUCAUGGAAGCUGAAAUUUCUGUAACCACUAGUCAAGCUCAGACUUGUAGGAUUGUUAUCAUCUGGCUGCACCGCGGGGAGUCUGUCAGCCCUGUGAAAUGCAAGGUGGUGGAAGGGCAGGUGCAUUUGUCUUGGAAGGCUAAAUUCAACUAGCGUGUCCCUGAUAAACAUGCAAAUUAUUGAACUGGCAUAUUCCUGUAGGGUGGGGGAAAAAGUUCAUCUAAAAAUUGCUAACCAACCUUUUAGAAAACCACCCUUCCACCAUGUGUUUUUCAAAUAUGCUAAUCCUUUCUGCUCAGAUAGUUUAAAAGAAGCUUUUGCAUUGAUUUUCUGGGUCACAGUACAGAUGCAAGAUUCUUUAAGGCAAUUCUACAAGAGUGUCUCUGUAUUUUCUUGUAGCAGGCAUCUAUACGAAGAGACUCCCUCCUCAGCUUGAAAGAUUGCCAGAUAAGAGACUUUCUGCAUGUGGGUUUUGUAGGAAGUGAUCUAAUAAAUGGAGGGAAAAUAC